GCAUUAAUGGGGUAGUGGUAACCUGGGUCGUUGCCAUUGAUUGAACGAUAGUUCGACCCGCCGGGGGUUCGAUUCCCCCUUAAUGCA
rnacentral:tRNA from 1 species